UGGAGCCAAAAAGGACCGCCAUUCAGCUCAAUCUUGUCACUUUGUCAGAGCUGCUUCUAGUUCUUCCUCAUUGUAAGAGAAGAAGAUGGGCAAGGUGAAGUCUGUAUUUAUGGUUUGCCUUGUGUUGGGGUUGUUUCUUGGGCAGUCCGGAGCCAACUUUCAGGAUUGCUACCCGGCCUGCUUCAUCCUGUGUGCCAUCACGCCCGGUCGCACUCUCUUCUCAUGCUCUGUCGAGUGCUUGAAGGACUGCAUAACUCCCCCUUCAAACAGCCUCAGAGAUACCCUAUACUUCUGCAAGCUUGGGUGUGCCUCCUCCUUGUGUACCAACCUCAGUACAAAGGAUAACCCUCGUGAGAAAAGGGUUGCAGGUUGUGUAAAUUCUUGCUCGAAGACAUGUACCGAUCAUGUGUAGCUUGCCCUCCGAGAAUUUUAUGACAAAUCUUCGGUUCUUGAAGUGGAGUAGCAUAUCAGUGAAUUGAAUGAGAUGACAGGAGUCCUGAAUUAUUUUUAGUUCCAGCAGAUUCGUAUGUACUUUGUUAUGGUGGAUGUUUGUUUUAUAAGGUUUUCUAUAUUUAUCUCAAGAUGCUAUCAUAGAGUGCGCACAGAAAAGUGUUUAUAUUAUCGACAAAAAGGUUCACGGGUGCACAGAAGCACUAGAAGUUAGUUCACAUGUGGGUGAACCAUACACAUAUCAGAGUGUUCAGUUUUUUAAUCAGCCAACUUUGUCUUGAAUAGAAAAGAAUUGAGCUGGUGGACAGCACCGGAUUUGACUAA